rnacentral:rRNA from 1 species
UACGGAGGAUGCGAGCGUUAUCCGGAUUUACUGGGUGUAAAGGGAGCGUAGACGGUGCAGCAAGUCUGAUGUGAAAGGUCGGGGCCCAACCCCGGGACUGCAUUGGAAACUGUUGAACUGGAGUACAGGAGAGGUAAGCGGAAUUCCUAGUGUAGCGGUGAAAUGCGUAGAUAUUAGGAGGAACACCAGUGGCGAAGGCGGCUUACUGGACUGCAACUGACACUGAGGCUCGAAAGUGUGGGUAUCAAACAGG